GACAUCUGUGAUAAAUUGGGUUGCAGCUGCAUACUCUUUGGGCCACUGCCUUUUGCCUAUGUUUGUAUAGCGCCUAGCACAACAUGCCCCAGUUGAUGGCUGGGGCUGGCAGGUUAAUAGGCACAUGGAUUGCUUGGUUGCUUUGAUCCUUUAUGCAGCACCUCAUGACUACUGCAUGCCUUUAAAGCCAAGUACAGCAGUGAUUCUCAACCAGGGUAUUGUGGCACACUAGAGUGAUGCAAGAUCCUUUGAAUGGUGUCGUGAGGUAUGAGGAGAUAAGCAGAUAAUCUCAGGUUCAUGCUCAUCCCUGCCUGGCCAUUCCUCCACCCCCACUGCCUGACCCCUCUGCAAGGAGUCCUGCACCCACUCUGAAAAUACAGAUCAGAAAAUUUUGAUUGUCCUUACCUCGCUUACGAUGGAUGAAUGGGGAUGCCUAUACACCCAGCCAUUCUGGCAUGUGGGUCCAUCCACAUUUCUUGCUUACGUCUGCUGCACCGGGGAUCCUGCACCAAUACGGCUCUGGA